rnacentral:misc_RNA from 1 species
AAGGUCGUAACAAGGUUUCCGUAGGUGAACCUGCGGAAGGAUCAUUAAAGAGUUAGGGUCCUAGUGGCCCAAAUCCUCCCAACCCCUCUGUUGGUUAAAAAGCUACCCUUGUUGCUUUGGGCCGGGUACCGUUCCGGGUUCUCCGAGCGCGUUAACCUUCGGGUUGGCGAGCGCCCGCCAGAGUCCAACCAAACUCUUGUAUUAAACCAGUCGUCUGAGUAUAAAAGUUUUCAAUUUAAUAAAAAC